AGGGAAAGGGGUAGUAAGAAGGUGGAAUGUUGAAUGCAGCAGAACAGUGGACCUGAUGGGAGGUGAAGUGGGACGGUGAUGCACCAUAGGAGCUGAUAACUCCAGCAGGAAGUGGAGCAGGGCCAGGUGAACCAGCAGAGGUCACAGACCUACCUCCAGGGGACUACUGGGUCUUUCUAGAGAUCAGACAGUGUACCUGUGCCCGCGGAUGUCAGACUGGUCACACACCCCUCCCAGGGCAAUGCGGUGGAACUCCCUGCCCAGGGUACGGGCGAUGGAGCGCCCCACACUGGUCUUUCCCACCCCAGGCGGCCCCACGAAGCACAGGAUGGGCCCCUUGAGGGUGCUCUUCAGCUGCCUCACAGCCAGGUACUCCAGCACUCUCCUCUUCAGCUUCUCCAUGGCAUAGUGGUCACUGUCCAACAGCACCCGCGCAGCAUGGAUAUCAAGACAGUCUGCAGAGACAAUGCGGAUCAGGGUUUAAUUCCAACACCGUGAAUAUUGUCAAAGACCUUAUCUAAUGUCAACCAAGUGAUUAAGAUAACCAUUAAUCUAGAUUGUAAUAACAAGUAUUGUUUUAUGUGGCUACAUGACUAAGCAGACAUAUGGUAUGGACUCCCCUGUGUGGUAAUGCUGAAUCAUCUAAGCAAAUGUCCCCAAUACUCUCAGUGUCUAAUGACUGGCUAUAGAGGACAAAGCAACCAGUGACAAAAUAUGAUAUUGAGCUCCCUCCAGUGGUAGAAGCCUUUAAUUCCAUUUUGAACAGAGAGUUCAAAAAAGAGAGCUGUGGCGGACUUCCUCGGGGUACACUUUGGUUUCUACCCCUCGUCCCAAAAAAGUGCCCUAUCCCAUUACAGAGAGUUUCAAGGUAUAACGUGCAUAUGAUGUGCUAUGUACAUUUCUAAAUUCAAAAAAAUAAAGUGUAAACGAAUAAAGAAAUGAACCUGAGAUUGUAGUGGUGUCAUAGUGGUGUACUGUGCAUACCUGUGGUCCUUUUGCUCCAGGGCAAUUCCACCAUAAGAUCCAGGUAGUUUCGGGUGAGAGCGUACUCUGGCAUGGACUGGGGCAUCUUCUUCAAUCUGUGUAGAUUAUCAUACAGAGCCUUCAGAAAGUAUUCACAUACCAUUACUGUUUCCAAAUGUUGUUGUGUUACAGCCGGAAUAUAAAAUGUAUUACAUUUAGAUUUUGUGUCACUGGACUACACACCACACCCCAUAA